rnacentral:rRNA from 1 species
AGAUUGAACGCUGGCGGCAGGCUUAACACAUGCAAGUCGAGGGGUAUAGGUUUUCGGACCUAGAGACCGGCGCACGGGUGCGUAACGCGUAUGCAAUCUACCUUUUACAGAGGGAUAGCCCAGAGAAAUUUGGAUUAAUACCUCAUAGUAUUAUUGAAUGGCAUCAUUUAAUAAUUAAAGUCACAACGGUAAAAGAUGAGCAUGCGUCCCAUUAGCUUGUUGGUAAGGUAACGGCUUACCAAGGCAACGAUGCGUAGCCGACCUGAGAGGGUGAUCGGCCACACUGGAACUGAGACACGGUCCAGACUCCUACGGGAGGCAGCAGUAGGGAAUCUUCCGCAAUGGGCGAAAGCCUGACGGAGCAACGCCGCGUGAGUGAUGAAGGUCUUCGGAUCGUAAAACUCUGUUAUUAGGGAAGAACAAAUGUGUAAGUAACUAUGCACGUCUUGACGGUACCUAAUCAGAAAGCCACGGCUAACUACGUGCCAGCAGCCGCGGUAAUACGUAGGUGGCAAGCGUUAUCCGGAAUUAUUGGGCGUAAAGCGCGCGCAGGCGGAUAGGUCAGUCUGUCUUAAAAGUUCGGGGCUUAACCCCGUGAUGGGAUGGAAACUGCCAAUCUAGAGUAUCGGAGAGGAAAGUGGAAUUCCUAGUGUAGCGGUGAAAUGCGUAGAGAUUAGGAGGAACACCAGUGGCGAAGGCGACUUUCUGGUCUGUAACUGACGCUGAUGUGCGAAAGCGUGGGGAUCAAACAGGAUUAGAUACCCUGGUAGUCCACGCCCUAAACGAUGU